rnacentral:pre_miRNA from 1 species
CAAGUACUCCCUCCGUCCGAAAAUACUUGUCAUCAAAAUGGAUAAAAAAGAUGUAUCUAGAACUAAUAUACAUCUAGAUACAUCCCCUUUUAUUCACUUUGAUGACAAGUAUUUCCGGACGGAGGGAGUACUAC